UACGUAGGGUGCGAGCGUUGUCCGGAAUUAUUGGGCGUAAAGAGCCUCGUGAGGCGGUUUGUCGCGUCGGCCGUGAAAACUUGGGGCUUAACCCCGAGCCUGCGGUCGAUACGGGCAGACUUGAGUUCGGCAGGGGAGACUGGAAUUCCUGGUGUAGCGGUGAAAUGCGCAGAUAGUCGGGAGGAACACCAGUGGCGAAGGCGACUACCUG
rnacentral:rRNA from 1 species